rnacentral:rRNA from 1 species
GACGAACGCUGGCGGCGUGCCUAAUACAUGCAAGUCGAGCGAGACUCUUCGGAGUCUAGCGGCGGACGGGUGAGUAACACGUGGGCAACCUGCCUGUAAGACUGGGAUAACACCGGGAAACCGGUGCUAAUACCGGAUAAUCCUUUUCCUCUCAUGAGGGAAAGCUGAAAGACGGUUUUGGCUGUCACUUACAGAUGGGCCCGCGGCGCAUUAGCUAGUUGGUGAGGUAACGGCUCACCAAGGCGACGAUGCGUAGCCGACCUGAGAGGGUGAUCGGCCACACUGGGACUGAGACACGGCCCAGACUCCUACGGGAGGCAGCAGUAGGGAAUCUUCCACAAUGGACGAAAGUCUGAUGGAGCAACGCCGCGUGAGCGAUGAAGGCCUUCGGGUCGUAAAGCUCUGUUGUUAGGGAAGAACAAGUACCGGAGUAACUGCCGGUACCUUGACGGUACCUAACCAGAAAGCCACGGCUAACUACGUGCCAGCCGCCGCGGUAA